rnacentral:rRNA from 1 species
AAUCGUAACAAGGUUUCCGUAGGUGAACCUGCGGAAGGAUCAUUACCUAGAGUUUGUGGGCUUUGCCCACUGUCUCUUACCCAUGUCUUUUGAGUACUUACGUUUCCUCGGUGGGCUCGCCCGCCGGUUGGACAAUUUAAACCAUUUGCAGUUGCAAUCAGCGUCUGAAAAACAUAAUAGUUACAACUUUCAACAACGGAUCUCUUGGUUCUGGCAUCGAUGAAGAACGCAGCGAAAUGCGAUAAGUAGUGUGAAUUGCAGAAUUCAGUGAAUCAUCGAAUCUUUGAACGCACAUUGCGCCCCUUGGUAUUCCAUGGGGCAUGCCUGUUCGAGCGUCAUUUGUACCUUCAAGCUCUGCUUGGUGUUGGGUGUUUGUCUCGCCUUGCGCGUAGACUCGCCUUAAAACAAUUGGCAGCCGGCGUAUUGAUUUCGGAGCGCAGUACAUCUCGCGCUUUGCACUCAUAACGACGACGUCCAAAAGUACUUUUUACACUCGAGACCUCGGAUCAGGUAGGGAUACCCGCUGAACUUAAGCAUAU